rnacentral:rRNA from 1 species
UGGGGUACUCGAGUGGCGAACGGGUGAGUAACACGUGAGUAACCUACCCUUGACUUUGGGAUAACUUCAGGAAACUGGGGCUAAUACCGGAUAGGAGCUCCUGCUGCAUGGUGGGGGUUGGAAAGUUUCGGCGGUUGGGGAUGGACUCGCGGCUUAUCAGCUUGUUGGUGGGGUAGUGGCUCACCAAGGCUUUGACGGGUAGCCGGCCUGAGAGGGUGACCGGCCACAUUGGGACUGAGAUACGGCCCAG